GACGAACGCUGGCGGCGUGCUUAACACAUGCAAGUCGAACGAUGAAGCCGGAGCUUGCUCUGGUGAAUUAGUGGCGAACGGGUGAGUAACACGUGAGUAACCUGCCCUUGACUCUGGGAUAACUGCUAGAAAUGGUAGCUAAUACCGGAUACGACCCUCGGAGGCAUCUCCAGGGGGUGGGAAGAAUUUCGGUCAAGGAAGGACUCGCGGCCUAUCAGCUAGUUGGUGAGGUAACGGCUCACCAAGGCGACGACGGGUAGCCGGCCUGAGAGGGUGACCGGCCACGCUGGGACUGAGACACGGCCCAGAGUCCUACGGGAGGCAGCGGUGGGGAAUAUUGCACAAUGGGCGCAAGCCUGAUGCAGCAACGCCGCGGGAGGGAUGACGGCCUUCGGGUUGUAAACCUCUUUUAGCAGGGAAGAAGCGAAAGUGACGGUACCUGCAGAAAAAGCACCGGCUAACUACGUGCCAGCCGCCGCUGUAA
rnacentral:rRNA from 1 species